rnacentral:rRNA from 1 species
AGGAUGAACGCUAGCUACAGGCUUAACACAUGCAAGUCGUGGGGCAGCAUGGUGUUGCUGCAACAACCGAUGGCGACCGGCGCACGGGUGAGUAACGCGUAUCCAACCUGGCCCUUAGUAGGGGAUAGCCCGGCGAAAGUCGGAUUAAUACCCUAUGUUUUCCCAUGAGAGCAUUUGAAAGGGAACAAAGAUUCAUCGCUAGGGGAUGGGGAUGCGUCCGAUUAGCUUGCCGGCGGGGUAACGGCCCACCGGGGCGACGAUCGGUAGGGGUUCUGAGAGGAAGGUCCCCCACAUUGGAACUGAGACACGGUCCAAACUCCUACGGGAGGCAGCAGUGAGGAAUAUUGGUCAAUGGGCGAGAGCCUGAACCAGCCAAAAGUAGCGUGAGGGAUGACGGCCCUACGGGUUGUAAACCUCUUUUGUACGGGAAUAAAGUGCGCCACGUGUGGCGUUUUGUAUGUACCGUAAGAAUAAGGACCGGCUAAUUCCGUGCCAGCAGCAGC